GGGUAAGAACAUAUGUCUGCAUCCCUGUCAUUUCAGAUUUAAACACUUCACUGGAAGAACCAUCUGUCUACCUGGUGGCUUCCUCAAAAUGAUACGGCCAUUGCCGCACCAAAUUAUCCAUGUGCAUGUCUACGUGACGUACAUCCAGUUUAAUCCUGUCAAUGAGAAGUGGGUUGAUGUGUUGUCCAAAUUGCAUGUCGAUGAUGAGUGGGCAGAGGAGUAACACAUGAUGAAAAUUCCAAUGGAUAACAGAAGAUACAAGCAUCAGGGGCCGUGAAGCCCAUGAGGCGUGAGCGGUUUGGGACGUCGACGGCAGCGAUGACGCCCGGGCGGCCGGUGUGGCAGAGGAGGAUACUGAUGGGGAUGCGGUGUGAGCUGCCGCGGUUCAGCGGGCUCAUACUGUACGAUGAGCAAGGCCGACGCCUCCAUCUCGGCACUCUGGGCAGAAGAAACCAUC